rnacentral:rRNA from 1 species
ACUCAAAUGAAUUGACGGGGGCCCGCACAAGCAGCGGAGCGUGUGGUUUAAUUCGAUGCAACGCGCAGAACCUUACCCAGACUUGACAUGCCCUGGAAAGCCGUGGAAACACGGCCCCCGCAAGGCCGGGGCACAGAUGUUGCAUGGCUGUCGUCAGCUCGUGUCGUGAGAUGUUGGGUUAAGUCCCGCAACGAGCGCAACCCUCGUGUGGUGUUGCAAAUCACCACAGACUGCCGGUACAAGCCGGAGGAAGGUGGGGAUGAUGUCAAGUCCGCAUGGCUCUUACGUCUGGGGCGACACACACGCUACAAUGGCCGGGACAGAGGGAGGCGACGGGGCGACCCGGAGCGGACCCCAAAACCCGGUCUCAGUUCGGAUGGCAGGCUGCAACCCGCCUGCCUGAAGUCGGAGUUGCUAGUAACCGCGUGUCAGCAUAGCGCGGUGAAUAUGUUCCCGGGCCUUGUACACACCGCCCGU